rnacentral:snRNA from 1 species
GUUUCUUCAAAGACAUCCGGUAAAAUUGAAAGAAUGUAAAGAAGAUUGGCAUGGCCCCCACACAAGGAUGACACAUACGAAUUGAGAAACAGUCCAAUUUUUG